rnacentral:rRNA from 1 species
AGGACGAACGCUGGCGGCGUGCUUAACACAUGCAAGUCGAGCGGAAAGGCCCUUCGGGGUACUCGAGCGGCGAACGGGUGAGUAACACGUGAGCAACCUGCCCCUGGCUCUGGGAUAGCUCCGGGAAACCGGGAUUAAUACCGGAUAUGACCCCCUUCUGCAUGGUGGGGGGUGGAAAGUUUUUCGGCUGGGGAUGGGCUCGCGGCCUAUCAGCUUGUUGGUGGGGUGAUGGCCUACCAAGGCGACGACGGGUAGCCGGCCUGAGAGGGCGGACGGCCACACUGGGACUGAGACACGGCCCAGACUCCUACGGGAGGCAGCAGUGGGGAAUAUUGCGCAAUGGGCGGAAGCCUGACGCAGCGACGCCGCGUGGGGAUGAAGGCCUUCGGGUUGUAAACCGUCUUUCAGCAGGGGCGAAGCGAGAGUGACGGUACCUGCAGAAGAAGCGCCGGCUAACUACGCGCCAGCAGCCGC